rnacentral:rRNA from 1 species
AACGAACGCUGGCGGCAGGCUUAACACAUGCAAGUCGAACGCCCCGCAAGGGGAGUGGCAGACGGGUGAGUAACGCGUGGGAAUCUACCCAGUUCUACGGAACAACUGAGGGAAACUUCAGCUAAUACCGUAUACGCCCUACGAGGGAAAGAUUUAUCGGAAUUGGAUGAGACCGCGUUGGAUUAGCUAGUUGGUGAGGUAACGGCUCACCAAGGCGACGAUCCAUAGCUGGUCUGAGAGGAUGAUCAGCCACACUGGGACUGAGACACGGCCCAGACUCCUACGGGAGGCAGCAGUGGGGAAUAUUGGACAAUGGGCGCAAGCCUGAUCCAGCCAUGCCGCGUGAGUGAUGAAGGCCUUAGGGUUGUAAAGCUCUUUCAGUGGGGACGAUAAUGACGGUACCCACAGAAGAAGCCCCGGCUAACUUCGUGCCAGCCGCCGCAGUAA